rnacentral:lncRNA from 1 species
CCCUCAUUACUUGGCCUCCCAUAACUAGGCCUCCUCGGUGGCUCCUCCACCUCCGGACUCUCGUAGCUCGGCCUCCCAUACUGUGGCUUCCUGGGGGACCCUUCCCCACCAUAACCAUACCCGCCACCUUGUUCCUCUCCGAAGCUAGGUUUCCGACCGUACCCAGAUCCAUAUUCAGAACUCGGUGCUUCGUACUCAGGCCUCCGACCAUACCCAGAUCCAUACUCCGAACUGGGCUGCUCGAACUCGGGCCUCCGACCAUACCCAGAUCCAUACUCCGAACUAGGUUGCUCGUAUUCAGGCUUCCGACCGUACCCAGAUCCAUAUUCCGUGCUAGGCUGUUCGUAUUCAGGCUUCCGACCGUACCCAGAUCCAUAUUCCGAGCUAGGCUGUUCGUAUUCAGGCUUCCGACCGUACCCAGAUCCAUAUUCCGAGCUAGGCUGUUCGUAUUCAGGCUUCCGACCGUAGCCAGAUCCAUAUUCCGAGCUAGGCUGUUCGCAUUCAGGCUUCCGACCGUACCCGGAUCCGUACUCCGAACUGGGUUCCUCGUAAUCAGGCUUCCGCCCAUGCCCAGAUCCAUACUCACCCUCCCCACCAAAACUCGACGGCGGCUUCGGCUGAUACCCAUACUCACCACCAUCACCACUGCCUCCGAACCCUCCUUGGCCAGGAGGUGGUCCGGCGUAACCAAGGACCGGACGAGGCUUGGGACGAGCAUAGCUCUUGUAUUCAUUCUCAAGAGCUUCAUCACCGUAAGCCGAUGGUUCAG